rnacentral:rRNA from 1 species
AGCACGUCUUCGGAUGGUGGCGACCGGCAAACGGGUGCGUAACACGUACGCAACCUUCCCGUUACUGUGGGAUAGCCCAGGGAAACUUGGAUUAAUACCACAUAUUAUGUAGAGGAGGCAUCUCCUCUAUAUCAAAGAAUUUCGGUAACGGAUGGGCGUGCGGUUGAUUAGGUAGUUGGCAGGGUAACGGCCCACCAAGCCAACGAUCAAUAGCUGAUGUGAGAGCAUGAUCAGCCACACGGGCACUGAGACACGGGCCCGACUCCUACGGGAGGCAGCAGUAAGGAAUAUUGGGCAAUGGACGAAAGCCUGACCCAGCCAUGCCGCGUGAAGGAUGACGGCCCUACGGGUUGUAAACUUCUUUUCUCUGGGGCGAAAACCUCCUAAUCUUAGGAAUUUGACAGUACCAGAGGAAUAAGCACCGGCUAACUCCGUGCCAGCAGCCGCGGUAAUACGGAGGGUGCAAGCGUUAUCCGGAUUCACUGGGUUUAAAGGGUGCGUAGGUGGGUCUGUAAGU